rnacentral:rRNA from 1 species
GUGAGGAAUAUUGCGCAAUGGAGGCAACUCUGACGCAGCCAUGCCGCGUGCAGGAAGAAGGCGCUACGCGUUGUAAACUGCUUUUAACCGGGAAGAAACCCCAGGACGUGUCCUGGGUUGACGGUACCGGAGGAAUAAGCACCGGCUAACUUCGUGCCAGCAGCCGCGGUAAUACGAAGGGUGCAAGCGUUAUCCGGCUUCAUUGGGUUUAAAGGGUGCGUAGGCGGAGCGUUAAGUCAGUGGUGAAAUCCUGCAGCUUAAAUUGAGACUUGCCAUUGAUACUGUCGCUCUUGAGUGCGCUUGAAGUGGGCGGAAUGUGCCGUGUAGCGGUGAAAUGCUUAGAUAUGGCACAGAAAACCAAUUGCGCAGGCAGCUCACUAAGGCGAUACUGACGCUGAGGCACGAAAGCGUGGGGAGCAAACAGGAUUAGAAACCCUAGUAGUCC